AUGGCUCAGGAUGAACGCUGGCGGCGUGCCUAAUACAUGCAAGUCGAGCGAAUGGAUUAAGAGCUUGCUCUUAUGAAGUUAGCGGCGGACGGGUGAGUAACACGUGGGUAACCUGCCCAUAAGACUGGGAUAACUCCGGGAAACCGGGGCUAAUACCGGAUAACAUUUUGAACCGCAUGGUUCGAAAUUGAAAGGCGGCUUCGGCUGUCACUUAUGGAUGGACCCGCGUCGCAUUAGCUAGUUGGUGAGGUAACGGCUCACCAAGGCAACGAUGCGUAGCCGACCUGAGAGGGUGAUCGGCCACACUGGGACUGAGACACGGCCCAGACUCCUACGGGAGGCAGCAGUAGGGAAUCUUCCGCAAUGGACGAAAGUCUGACGGAGCAACGCCGCGUGAGUGAUGAAGGCUUUCGGGUCGUAAAACUCUGUUGUUAGGGAAGAACAAGUGCUAGUUGAAUAAGCUGGCACCUUGACGGUACCUAACCAGAAAGCCACGGCUAACUACGUGCCAGCAGCCGCGGUAAUACGUAGGUGGCAAGCGUUAUCCGGAAUUAUUGGGCGUAAAGCGCGCGCAGGUGGUUUCUUAAGUCUGAUGUGAAAGCCCACGGCUCAACCGUGGAGGGUCAUUGGAAACUGGGAGACUUGAGUGCAGAAGAGGAAAGUGGAAUUCCAUGUGUAGCGGUGAAAUGCGUAGAGAUAUGGAGGAACACCAGUGGCGAA
rnacentral:rRNA from 1 species